GAUGAACGCUGGCGGCGUGCCUAAUACAUGCAAGUCGAGUGAACGGACGAGAAGCUUGCUUCUCUGAUGUUAGCGGCGGACGGGUGAGUAACACGUGGAUAACCUACCUAUAAGACUGGGAUAACUUCGGGAAACCGUAGCUAAUACCGGAUAAUAUUUUGAACCGCAUGGUUCAAAAGUGAAAGACGGUCUUGCUGUCACUUAUAGAUGGAUCCGCGCUGCAUUAGCUAGUUGGUAAGGUAACGGCUUACCAAGGCAACGAUGCAUAGCCGACCUGAGAGGGUGAUCGGCCACACUGGAACUGAGACACGGUCCAGACUCCUACGGGAGGCAGCAGUAGGGAAUCUUCCGCAAAGGGCGAAAGCCUGACGGAGCAACGCCGCGUGAGUGAUGAAAGUCUUCGGAUCGUAAAACUCUGUUAUUAGGGAAGAACAUAUGUGUAAGUAACUGUGCACAUCUUGACGGUACCUAAUCAGAAAGCCACGGCUAACUACGUG
rnacentral:rRNA from 1 species